rnacentral:rRNA from 1 species
GACGAACGCUGGCGGCGUGCCUAAUACAUGCAAGUAGGACGCAGUUGCGAACGGGUGAGUAACGCGUAGGUAACUACCUAUUAGAGGGGGAUAACUAUUGGAAACGAUAGCUAAUACCGCAUACUAGUAGAUGGACCUGCGUUGUAUUAGCUAGUAGGUAGGGUAAUGGCCUACCUAGGGAAAGAUACAUAGCCGACCUGAGAUGGUGAUAGGCCAAAUGGGGACUGAGACACGGCCGAGGCGCCUGCGGUGGGCAGCAGUAGGGAAACUUCGGCAAUGGGGGGAAACCUGACCGAGCAAAGCAGCGUGAGUGAAGAAGGUUUGCGGAUCGUAAAGCGCUGUUGUUAAGGAAGCGGUACUUAACCAGAAAGGGACGGCUAACUACGUGCCAGCAGCCGCGGUAAUAC